rnacentral:tRNA from 2 species
GGGGCCAUAGCUCAGCUGGGAGAGCACCUGCUUUGCAAGCAGGGGGUCGUCGGUUCGAUUCCGACUGGCUCCACCA